GUGGAAGGCUGGAAGCAUGCUUGGAGAGAACUCUCUGUAUCAGUUACUAUACAGCAUGUGCACAGUGCUAAAAGGAAGUUAUAUAGCUCCUAUUCCACAACAUGUCACCAUGCUGCACAGUGGAGAGCUGGCAGCCUUAGGCCUGGGGAGCAAGUCCAGUCAAGGUGCCCAUGGAUCAGAUGGGCCGCCAGCCGCUGUCAAAGCACCUGACAAAGACUGACAACUGGUGUAUGGAAAACUGGAAUAAGCACUUGGAAGAAGAAAACCAACAACUGAGACAACUAAUUGUUACAGGCAAGUCAAUAUACCUACCUCUCAGCUAGAUUUUCCUGGCGUAAUGGAUACUUUGAAAACCACAAGAGCGCAGCUAAUAGCACUGAAGGUGGCAGUUCAUACUGUGUGGGACAGAAGGUUAUGCACACGAUACACCCAUCUGAAGAGUUGAGCUCAUCUGCUUGUCAAGUGUCGUACUCUAGGCCUAAACAGCUGCUACUUUGACAACGUUUCCUGGGACUUCAUAAGGUGUGAUCAGUGACGCUGUUACGAGAAAAAUUGCGGCGUUGAAAUAUCACCUGAAGGGAAACAUCAGGAACCUCAUCAGAAUACCACAAAUAAACUUUUAUGUCAUUAAUGUCAUUUACCACAGUUAACACCACUUUCUAUUCCCUGUGUUGUAGUUUUUGUAUAUUUACAUGAUAAUAAAGUUGUGUGUAUUGUA